GCAUUUGUAAAGGCGCCGACACACCACCCCGAUCAUCGUCUGUCAGACAAUCUGGCGAGGUCAGUGACUCGUGUCUGUUCGGUGUGUUCCGUCCCGUCGUCAGUCCGGGGGCUGUCAGCGUUCAUUUAGGCCGAUUUGACUUGUUGGAUUGGCCAGUGGGCAGUCGGACUCAACGGCCAAACUGAUUGGUGGAGUGCUAGCCCUUCACUAUCGAAUCAAUGAUGGUGAGAAAACCGGACCUUACAACGCCAGUAUCGUCUUAUUACUAGCACUCGUAUUUUCUUCCGUUCAGCGAGUAAUGAAAACAUCGAUCCUUCUUGACUACUGUAAACACUUUCUGAUUAAAACAAUGAUUGA